UGUUCUGUGGCUUAGUUGGUUAAAGCGCCGGUCAAGCGAAUACGAUGUCAUGGGUUCAAAUCCCACCAGAACGC
rnacentral:tRNA from 1 species